rnacentral:rRNA from 1 species
UUUUUCUCACCGCUCACGUUGUCGGAAGCAAAACGGUAUAUCUAGUACCGAACCUCCACGGUGUACCUGUACCAAGAAGACGAGCAAUAUGACCUCUAGUAAGACGAGUAACGCUGCCGCGGGGCUCCCGACCGCCUAAGCACACGGGCACCCAAACCUACAGUGGUUCCGCUAGGACUGACCGGGCCUACACAAACGGCGUGUUCUGAAACAUGAACGCCGGCAAUUAGUUCUGACAUGAGGGGAGUUUUUCAUAUAGUUCUAACAUGAAAAUAUACAAAUAAUCCCGCGAUCGCGGCUAGUCUAUGUUUCAGAUAGUAAGGAGGGACAGCUUUCUUCUAGAUGACAAGGGCGUUUCUUUCUUUCUUUCUUCUAGAACACACCG